CAUUAGCUAGUUGGUGAGGUAACGGCUCACCAAGGCCACGAUGCAUAGCCGACCUGAGAGGGUGAUCGGCCACAUUGGGACUGAGACACGGCCCAAACUCCUACGGGAGGCAGCAGUAGGGAAUCUUCGGCAAUGGACGAAAGUCUGACCGAGCAACGCCGCGUGAGUGAAGAAGGUUUUCGGAUCGUAAAACUCUGUUGUUAGAGAAGAACAAGGAUGAGAGUAACUGUUCAUCCCUUGACGGUAUCUAACCAGAAAGCCACGGCUAACUACGUGCCAGCAGCCGCGGUAAUACGUAGGUGGCAAGCGUUGUCCGGAUUU
rnacentral:rRNA from 1 species